CAAGUAUUUCGACUUUUAUCCGAGCAAAUAUGCUUUGUUUCACUUGUGUCGAUGAACCAAGCUCUUGGCUUACCCACGUGGUUCACUUCGGAGACCACGACUGAUGAGGCAUCCUCGUCAAAGGCCCUCCCAGCAAGUUGCUACCUUCUGUUCUCGUUAGACACGAGAGUGCUUCGACGAUCACCUUAGACGGACAGUCUGAGUCGUUCAAUUAAUCAAUUUCAUCUCUUUUUGUUUUGCUUCAAUAAUUCACAUAACCAAAGCUUCAGUGGACAAUUACAAAUUUAUCAUUACUAGUACUCCUCAUUUAUUAAUUAUUGAUUAUAAAUAAAUCAGAGUAAAAAAGGAAUUAUUUUCAGAUUCAAAACGCAAUCUUUGAAUAAUUGUAUAUUUGUAUUCUACAGAAAUUUGAGAAAUUGAAAAUUUCAGAAUUUCUUCCAGGUUAAAAGCUUUCUCGCUCUAAGACGACCGAGAGAGAAAAUUGAAGAUGCCGAGGGGACUGUCGUUUUCGGUUGAUACAUGGAUGCCGUCUUCAAACAUGAAGAGGAGUCAUUUCCUCACCCACGCUCACAAAGACCACGUGCAAGGGAUCCUCUCUCACGCUUCCUAUCCUAUCUACUCCACGCUCCUUACCAAAACUCUUCUCCGCCAAUUCUAUCCUCAGCUUGAUGAAUCGAUGUUCGUAGGUAUUGAGGUCGGUCAAUCUCUGGUGAUUGACGAUCCGGAUGGUGAUUUCGUUGUCACUGCGUUUGACGCCAAUCAUUGUCCAGAUCUGAGCAGUGAUGUUUCUGUUUGAAGGAAGUUUUGGCAAUGUAUUUCACACAGGAGAUUGCAGAUUAACCCCCGAGUGUUUGCUAAGUUUACCAGACAAGUGCAUUGGCAAGAAAAGGAAAGAACCAAAAUGUCCAUUUGAUUACAUCUUUUUAGAUUCCACAUUUGGUCAAUGCCCUGUGAAGAUGCCCAGCAAACACUCAGCAAAGCAGCAGGUUAUCAACUGUAUAUGGAAACACCCUGAUGCCCGUGCGGUGUAUUUGGCAUGUGAUCUUCUAGGUCAAGAAGAGAUACUUGUAGAGGUGUCACAAACAUUUGGUGAGAAGAUAUAUGUAGAUAAAGCCAAAAACUUAGCGUGCUUUAACUCGCUUAAACUUAUAGCCCCUGAGGUCAUAUCAGAAGAUCCAUCUUCACGUUUCAAACUAUUUGAUUGCUUCCCAAAACUAUAUGAAAGAGCUGGAGCAAUCCUAGCUGAUGCACGUGCCAAUUUUCAGCACGACCCCCUUAUUAUACGUCCUUCUUCACAAUGGUAUGCUUGUAAUGAGGGUGUUUCUGAGAUGGAAAAGCAAAGAAAGGAAAGAGUUGAUCAAGCUGUCAAAGAUAUGCAUGAUAUUUGGCACGUAGGUUACUCAAUACUCUCAUCCAGAGAGGAAUUGGAUUGGGCCUUGCAACUUCUUGGGCCUAAAUGGGUAGUGUCAACAACGCCUAGCUGCAGGGCUAUGGAGCUGGAUUAUGUUAAAAAGCACUGUUUUAAAAAUCUACAAACUUUUGACAACUCUCUGUGCAAACUUCUUGACAUUAAUAUGGUAGAGUCUUUAGUUCCAGAUGGAUCAAAUGAAAAUUCGAGCUGCUCGCAUGUGGUGGACAUCUCCAGUGGCCAUGUAGAAAAGCAAUCUGGACCUUUUGUCAGAUCCACAUACCAGCGGAAACGGUUGAGUUUAUCUCCCCCAAGCAAAAGACCAAUGGUCACAUUAUUUGGGCAAGCGAGGCUUGGACUCCCCUAUUCAUCCUUCCUACUUGAAUGUAAAGAUGCAUCAGCCAUUUGUAACUGAGGAGAAAGAACUGAUUGAAACAAACAAUGUUUCCUUUCAGAAAGAAAAUGUUAUUACUGAGAACUCCGAAGAGCAAUUUGUAACAAUGAGACAAAUUGAGUUUUCUGGAACAAAUUGCAGUGGGCCUAACAAUACUUAUGAUAAGGAGAUUUCCACCAGUAGUUCAAUGGCGAAAUCAGCAGCAGAAACAAAGAAUGUGUCAUUUGAGAAAGAAAAUAUUACUCAAGUGAAUGCUAAAGAGCAAUUACAAACCAAGAGAAAAGUCGAAUUUACUGAGACAAAUUCCACAGAACAUGCUGCUACUUCAACUGUGAGGUCUUUGAACUGCUAUGAUGAAAACUUAAGAAGAUUAUACAGGUCUAUGAAUGUACCAGUGCCUCAGCGCCUUCCCUCUCUUGUGAUGGUUAUGAAAACCAAAAAAUCUGCAAGGAAGAGGACUUAAAAAAAUUUCUCUACAAGAUUUUAAAUCCUUAUUUUUAGUGGUCAUUGUUGGCUAUCAUCUGCUCAUGCUUGAUUGUUUCAAGGGACCUCUUUCAACCAUGUAACUUAGAGUUGUGAUGUUUAAAUGGCUUUUUUUGCCUGAAAAAGAAGAUAAAAUAUCAGCAAUGUAAGGGAGUGACUUAUGCCUCACAAUUGAGAAACUUGCUUCAAGUGGUUGAAAGGAUGCAUGGGGCUGCAAAUAUUGUGUGCUGACAAGGAACUACUUAAAGGUAAGCUUUAAACUCCAUUAAAUGACCGUAGCUUGUAUCAAAUUUCUCCAUGUAGUAGUUAUUUAUUUAUGGAGUGUGUUGCUAGUGUAUUCUCUGAAAACUGAGUGGUAGGAUGUUAUGCACUUCACACAAUUUAGUAAAUUUAAUAGGUAAAGGCAAUGAAUGAUAUGAUACAUCACAUUGUUCCAGGAUUUCUCUUUGGAAGAUGGCAGCAAUUUUCAUUUUUUUUUUAAUUUCUUGCAAUAAUAUUUGACAUAUAAUUUUCACCAUGCUCCUGUCUAUCAUUCCCUGUGAAGGCUGUGACAGAUGCUGCCUCUCUUUUGAAAUAUAGAAUUUGCAUCUAUUUCCCAGAAUGCACAGUACCAACACUUUCGGGUUGUUUGAUAUAUUAUUGCAAAAUGGACAAGCAACUCAGACCUGCAAUUAAAAGACCAGCUAAUUUAUUUCUAAAAUGUUAUUUUUUUUUCUCUUUGUUGAUGCAACAAUAAAUUACAUUUUGAAACUCACAUGUACCAACGGCACACUCAUAAAGCAGGUUUGCUUGCACAAUGUUUUUAAAGUCUAACUACUUAUUUUUCUUUUAUUUUCUUGUGUUUAAUUAUAUUUGAGAUAAUAAAAGUGGUGGCUGCUUCAAUCUGUUUCUAGUUCUCAUAGAAUUUGUGACUUUUUGAAAUUUUAAAAAUAAAAAAUGGCAAGCAGUAUUAAAUUUUGCAACCUAUGCAUUUCUUCGCAUUAUAUUCCGGAAAUGUUUCCUUUGGCUUUUCUAGGGAUAAGCAUAGCGAACGCUAAGUACAGAAACUCAUUAAUGGAAUUGACGCACGGAGUUGAGUCAUUUACGAUGCUAGAAUACUUUAGCGUCCGUUAGAUGUGUUGACAAUGAAACCUGAGUCAGUGAAUAGUAGGUAUGAUAUUUAUGUAAUUCACCCAAAUUGACAAAAUCAGUUUAAUUAUUAUAUCUCUCCAGCUAUGCAUCGAUGCAUUUUAUUAAAACUCGGCCCCCCUAUAAAUUCCAUUUUGAACUUCUCACUUCAGAAGCCACAGACAUAAUUAGUCAUCUUUAAGAGGC